AUUGAACGCUGGCGGCAGGCCUAACACAUGCAAGUCGAGCGGAUGAAGGGAGCUUGCUCCUGGAUUCAGCGGCGGACGGGUGAGUAAUGCCUAGGAAUCUGCCUGGUCGUGGGGGAUAACGUCCGGAAACGGGCGCUAAUACCGUAUACGUCCUGAUGGAGAAAGUGGGGGAUCUUCGGACCUCACGCUAUCAGAUGAGACUAGGUCGGAUUAGCUAGUUGGUGGGGUAAAGGCCUACCAAGGCGACGAUCCGUAACUGGUCUGAGAGGAUGAUCAGUCACACUGGAACUGAGACACGGUCCAGACUCCUACGGGAGGCAGCAGUGGGGAAUAUUGGACAAUGGGCGAAAGCCUGAUCCAGCCAUGCCGCGUGUGUGAAGAAGGUCUUCGGAUUGUAAAGCACUUUAAGUUGGGAGGAAGAGCAGUAAGUUAAUACCUUGCUGUUUUGACGUUACCAACAGAAUAAGCACCGGCUAACUUCGUG
rnacentral:rRNA from 1 species